ensembl:misc_RNA Metazoa_SRP Metazoan signal recognition particle RNA
GCUGGGCGUGGUGGUGCAUGCCUGUAAUCCAAGCUACUUGGGAGGCUGAGGCAGAAGAAUUGCUUUAAUCCGGGAGGCAGAGGUUGCAGUGAGCCAAGAUCACACCACUGCACUCCAGCCUGGGUGACAGAGCAAGACUCUGUCUCAA